GGCGCUUUAGCUCAGCCGGUAGAGCAACGGACUGAAAAUCCGUGUGUCCCCAGUUCGAUUCUGGGAGGCGCCA
rnacentral:tRNA from 1 species